rnacentral:tRNA from 1 species
GGAAGAGUGGCAGAGUGGUCUAUUGCACCGGUCUUGAAAACCGGCGACCCGCGAGGGUCCGUGAGUUCGAAUCUCACCUCUUCCGCCA